rnacentral:rRNA from 1 species
UACGAGGGGGGCAAGCGUUGUUCGGAAUUAUUGGGCGUAAAGGGUGCGUAGGCGGUUUGGUAAGUCGGAGGUGAAAUCCUGGAGCUCAACUCCAGAACUGCCUUCGAUACUGAAGAGCUCGAGUCCGGGAGAGGUGAGUGGAACUGCGAGUGUAGAGGUGAAAUGCGUAGAUAUCGGGAGGAACACCAGAGGCGAUGGCGGCGCACUGGACAGCAACUGACACUCAACUGCGAAAGCGUGGGGAGCAAACAGG